rnacentral:rRNA from 1 species
CCUACGGGAGGCAUCAGUGGGGGAUAUUGCACAAUGGGGGAAACCCUGAUGCAGCGACGCCGCGUGUGGGAAGACGGUCCUCUGGAUUGUAAACCACUGUCCCCAGGGACGAAAAUGACGGUACCUGGGGAGGAAGCUCCGGCUAACUACGUGCCAGCAGCCGCGGUCAUACGUAGGGAGCGAGCGUUGUCCGGAAUUACUGGGUGUAAAGGGGGCGUAGGCGGGGAAGCAAGUUGGGUGUCAAAACUACCGGCUCAACUGGUAGUCGCACUCAAAACUGCAGCUCUUGAGUGAAGUAGAGGCAGGCGGAAUUCCUAGUGAAGCGGUGAAAUGCGUAGAUAUUAGGAGGAACACCAGUGGCGAAGGCGGCCUGCUGGGCUUUUACUGACGCUGAGGAUCGAAAGUGUGGGGAGCAAACAGGAUUAGAUACCCUUGUAGUC